UCCGUUAAUUGAUUAUGACGUACUUGUACUGAUUGAGAUUUUAACACGAAGUGAGUGGCGAACGGGUGAGUAACACGUGGGUAACCUGCCCAGAAGUAGGGGAUAACACCUGGAAACAGAUGCUAAUACCGUAUAACAGAGAAAACCGCAUGGUUUUCUUUUAAAAGAUGGCUCUGCUAUCACUUCUGGAUGGACCCGCGGCGUAUUAGCUAGUUGGUGAGGUAAAGGCUCACCAAGGCAGUGAUACGUAGCCGACCUGAGAGGGUAAUCGGCCACAUUGGGACUGAGACACGGCCCAGACUCCUACGGGAGGCAGCAGUAGGGAAUCUUCCACAAUGGACGCAAGUCUGAUGGAGCAACGCCGCGUGAGUGAAGAAGGGUUUCGGCUCGUAAAGCUCUGUUGUUAAAGAAGAACGUGGGUAAGAGUAACUGUUUACCCAGUGACGGUAUUAACCAGAA
rnacentral:rRNA from 1 species